rnacentral:lncRNA from 1 species
UUUUACAUGGACUAGUGCACCAGUAUCUGAUUUGUUGAACUACAAUUCCCUUUUUUUUCUUUUUUCUUUUUUGCAGCCAAAAUUUUGACAGAGAACUCCCAAAUUUUCACCAACUGACCGGAGAAUUUAACCACGACCCCUCAACAAUCAUCAAAACAAAACCCCAUUACUCAAUUAAACCAAACAACAAACAAACCAAAAAGCCCAUUAAUGUUUUCAAGCUUCGCCAAAAACCCCUCCAAUGGAAUUUUUAGCUCCUCUAACGUUUCAAGUAAUCAAGUAGUUCACAAUCAGGAUUUUUGGCAGCUCUUCAAAAUCUUAGAUCCAACCUCUUCUUUAUAGAUCGACAUCUUCAAAUGGACAAAACCUAAAAGACCAAUCGGCCUUCACUAGCGUUUUCAGACUUUCGACGGUAUUUAAAAUCACAUUUUAGAUUUAAAACUACAACAUCCAUACUAAUAUAUAGUAUAUUUCUGUAUAUAAUAUCUCAAGCAUAUCCAUCACCUUAGAAUCCAUUUGCUACAGUCACAUCCUCCUAUUAAAAAAUGCAAAUUUUCACCAUUAAAAGACCAUAAAGAUCAAAACUUAUCUUAUAUUUUUGGGGUAAAAAACAAAAGAUUUUAACAUUGUUGAAAGUAGAAAAGCGGAACAUAUAACAAAAGUUCAAUUUUGGACUUACCAUUUCUGUGAAAACAAGCUCCAAAAUCAUGAGAAGGAACACAACAAAGACAUGGUUAGAAACGAUCAUAGAGUGCGAGGACAGUGGUUUUUGGACGAGGAUAAUGGAUAUUGGUAAAGUUGGAAGGUGAAGGUAGGGGUGAGCAUCGAUCGGUUCGGUCGGUUAUUAUAAAAAUAUUAUUCGAUUUUUUUAUUUUCGGUUUUGUAAUAAUAAUAACAAAAUCAAACCAAAAUAUUUAUAGUUCGGUGCAGUUUUUUCAAAGUUCAGUUCGGUUAUUUUGGUUUAUAUUUUCGGUUUCAAAUGGUUGCAGACUUGUAGGAACAGAGAAGUAUUUACAUUGUACAGUUUGUAAUAAGUUGAAUAUUAUGUGUUUUUGUAACGACCCGACCGGUCGUUUUGAUCUUUUGCACUUUGAUCGUCAGUUUGCGGGCACAACUUGUUCCGUGUAAUUUGAAAUAAGUUCAAUAUCACGCUUGAAU